AGCUUUGCACAGCGGCAGUGUUGCAGCCAAUGAGGUUUAUCCAAGGUGCAAUUAUUGCUAAUUAAACGUUUGGCAUGUAGGAAUAUUUACUUUUACAGUUUUGUGUUGUCCAUGUAGUGACAUAUAACGAAAAUCAGCAGUAUUUUUAAAGUAUUUGAUGAAAU
ensembl:snRNA U4 U4 spliceosomal RNA